GUCUGCAGCAUCGAAGGUCCCCAAAAACACAGUGGACUCCAUCAUUCUUAAAUGGAAGAAGUUUGGAAUCACCAAGACUCUUCCUAAAGCUGGCCGCAUGACCAAACUGAGCAAUCGGGGAGAAGGAAGGGCCUUGGUGAGUGAGGUGACCAAGAACCCGAUGGUCAGUCUGACAGAGCUCCUCUGUGGAAAUGGGAGAUUCUUCCAGAAGGACAACCAUCUCUGCAGCACUCCAUCAAUCAGGCCUUUAUGGUAGAGUGGCCAGAUGGAAGACACUCCUCAGUAAAAGGCAAACAUUUAUAUUAACAUACAAUAUAUUCCUCUUAUAAUUAUAGCAUUAACUUUCUCAUCAGAUCAGUAUCUCAAUGCAUUCUUAGUCUAAAUGACUAUACAUUAUAAAGUGUGUAGACCUCCACAAUCAACCUGAUACCCCAAAAUAUACAAUUUUAGACAAGUCUAAAUCAAUGACGGGUACAGUUGGCCAACCCCUUUCAUUCUUCUGGCGUCUCUUCAUUGUCUUCUUCAGAUAGCUUCACAGUUCAAAGUGGAUGGUCCAUGAUAAUGUCCCAAUUCCAAUGUGUCACUUGGACCGCCACCACCUUAUGUAUUUUCCAUUUGCUAACCAGUAUAUCAGCAACAUGAGAGAAGUUUAGAACGGAUCUCUCUCCAUGCUCCUCCACGUGGUCCUGUCGCACUCCUGAGAGAAAAGGCAUGAGAGAAAAGGCAUGAGAGAAAAGGCAUGAGAGAAAAGGCUGUUGAUACCUUCAACUGGAUACUGUGUGGGUUGCUGGCUCUGACUCAGGUCUCAUGGUAGAAGUGGUGAAGGACAGGGCCGUAGUGAACGCCAUUGUUGCCAUUACGUCACACUGGUUAGAGGGGGUUUGAGGCUCACACUGUUCUAGGCCAAAUGAUCCCUGCCAUGCAUCUAGAUACCACCUGGGGUCCCUAUCGCCAGAACCAGAACAACAGUUUAGUUUAGGGCAUUUCUGAUUCAAACAGAUCAGAUGAUACAGUGUCCCUUUUAAGUGGAAUAAACACCUUCUAGAAAAAAACCUUUCAAGUAAUCCUAUCUUUCCAACCUGUUGCAUUCAUUUAGUCUAAAUAUAAAACCUGUUGCAUUCAUUUAGUCUAAAUAUAAAACCUGUUGCAUUCAUUUAGUCUAAAUAUAAAACCUGUUGCAUUCAUUUAGUCUAAAUAUAAAACCUGUUGCAUUCAUUUAGUCUAAAUAUAAAACCUGUUGCAUUCAUUUAGUCUAAAUAUAAAACCUGUUGCAUUCAUUUAGUCUAAAUAUAAAACCUGUUGCAUUCAUUUAGUCUAAAUAUAAAACCUGUUGCAUUCAUUUAGUCUAAAUAUAAAACCUGUUGCAUUCAUUUAGUCUAAAUAUAAAACCUGUUGCAUUCAUUUAGUCUAAAUAUAAAACCUGUUGCAUUCAUUUAGUCUAAAUAUAAAACCUGUUGCAUUCAUUUAGUCUAAAUAUAAAACCUGUUGCAUUCAUUUAGUCUAAAUAUAAAACCUGUUGCAUUCAUUUAGUCUAAAUAUAAAACCUGUUGCAUUCAUUUAGUCUAAAUAUAAAACCUGUUGCAUUCAUUUAGUCUAAAUAUAAAACCUGUUGUUUAACAAAUCUAGGACCUUUAAAAACGUUGGUGCGGUCUUAUCAGCUUAAUAUUCAGUACUAAAACAUUUACUUGGAUCUACUUUAACUUGAAACACUGUUCCACAUAAUGGAAACCAAUUAUCAUUGUUAUAUAUUCUUGCUUAAAUCACUGGUGAAGUUGUAAAAAUCAUCUCCCAUUCUUCUGCACCAAAUGUCCCACUGUGUCACUUACAGCCCGCUCGAGCCUAGCGGGCACCACUCGCUUUCACCCGCAGACUAAAACAUUUCAUUAUUAGAGUCUAUUCAAAAACCACUAAUAACAUAUUCCCAUUCACAUACUGUCAACAAUCAUUACAUUUUAAGUUAUCAAUUGUGAUCAUGUUCACAGUUCUAAAUUAGUCCUUCAAUUUCAACUAAACAAGCUGCUAAAUCGUUCAGUUGAAAUCUUAAAACAAACUGGCUGCUGUAUCUAGCUAAGCAAAUGUUGGUAUAAUUGAAUUAUUGUUUAGUCAUUAUUCAUAAAAUUCCUAACAGCAAACCAUAGCAAUAGUUGAGUUACAAUCAGAAACCCAGAUUUUAGUAACAUAGACCCUAUGCCUAUAGAAAUACCAAGUCAAAAUGACAAAUCCUGCAAAUAGACCAAUUAUAUAAUGGUUUGUAGUUUUAACAUCUGGCCCAUAAUAAUGACAAUUACCAGAAAAUAGCCUUAAAGUUCAUCCAAGUGUUUCUUUGCAAAGAUUUCACAUGUGCAAAUGGGAUUUAGCAGUCGACGAGUUGAAUUGACAUUCAUUGGUUUGGAAACAGAUCUGCCGAGUUUAAUAAAAGUGGAUGUCUUUUCCUUUUCUCCUCGAAGAUUAUUAUUUUGAUGGAAAACCUCAUUUGGCUUCACGGCAGUAUGGUCAGGUCUUCUACUCUAGGGCAGUACGGUCAGGUCUUCUACUCUAGGGCAGUACGGUCAGGUCUUCUACUCUAGGGCAGUACGGUCAGGUCUUCUACUCUAGGGCAGUACGGUCAGGUCUUCUACUCUAGGGCAGUACGGUCAGGUCUUCUACUCUAGGGCAGUACGGUCAGGUCUUCUACUCUAGGGCAGUACGGUCAGGUCUUCUACUCUAGGGCAGUACGGUCAGGUCUUCUACUCUAGGACAGUACGGUCAGGUCUUCUACUCUAGGGCAGUACGGUCAGGUCUUCUACUCUAGGGCAGUACGGUCAGGUCUUCUACUCUAGGGCAGUACGGUCAGGUCUUCUACUCUAGGGCAGUACGGUCAGGUCUUCUACUCUAGGGCAGUACGGUCAGGUCUUUUACUCUAGGGCAGUACGGUCAGGUCUUCUACUCUAGGGCAGUACGGUCAGGUCUUCUACUCUAGGGCAGUACGGUCAGGUCUUCUACUCUAGGGCAGUACGGUCAGGUCUUCUACUCUAGGGCAGUACGGUCAGGUCUUCUACUCUAGGGCAGUACGGUCAGGUCUUCUACUCUAGGGCAGUACGGUCAGGUCUUCUACUCUAGGGCAGUACGGUCAGGUCUUCUACUCUAGGGCAGUACGGUCAGGUCUUCUACUCUAGGGCAGUACGGUCAGGUCUUCUACUCUAGGGCAGUACGGUCAGGUCUUCUACUCUAGGGCAGUACGGUCAGGUCUUCUACUCUAGGGCAGUACGGUCAGGUCUUUUACUCUAGGGCAGUACGGUCAGGUCUUCUACUCUAGGGCAGUACGGUCAGGUCUUCUACUCUAGGGCAGUACGGUCAGGUCUUCUACUCUAGGGCAGUACGGUCAGGUCUUCUACUCUAGGGCAGUACGGUCAGGUCUUCUACUCUAGGGCAGUACGGUCAGGUCUUCUACUCUAGGGCAGUACGGUCAGGUCUUCUACUCUAGGGCAGUACGGUCAGGUCUUCUACUCUAGGGCAGUACGGUCAGGUCUUCUACUCUAGGGCAGUACGGUCAGGUCUUCUACUCUAGGGCAGUACGGUCAGGUCUUCUACUCUAGGGCAGUACGGUCAGGUCUUCUACUCUAGGGCAGUACGGUCAGGUCUUCUACUCUAGGGCAGUACGGUCAGGUCUUCUACUCUAGGGCAGUACGGUCAGGUCUUCUACUCUAGGGCAGUACGGUCAGGUCUUCUACUCUAGGGCAGUACGGUCAGGUCUUUUACUCUAGGGCAGUACGGUCAGGUCUUCUACUCUAGGGCAGUACGGUCAGGUCUUCUACUCUAGGGCAGUACGGUCAGGUCUUCUACUCUAGGGCAGUACGGUCAGGUCUUCUACUCUAGGGCAGUACGGUCAGGUCUUCUACUCUAGGGCAGUACGGUCAGGUCUUCUACUCUAGGGCAGUACGGUCAGGUCUUCUACUCUAGGGCAGUACGGUCAGGUCUUCUACUCUAGGGAAGUACGGUCAGGUCUUCUACUCUAGGGCAGUACGGUCAGGUCUUCUACUCUAGGGCAGUACGGUCAGGUCUUCUACUCUAGGGCAGUACGGUCAGGUCUUCUACUCUAGGGCAGUACGGUCAGGUCUUCUACUCUAGGGCAGUACGGUCAGGUCUUCUACUCUAGGGCAGUACGGUCAGGUCUUCUACUCUAGGGCAGUACGGUCAGGUCUUCUACUCUAGGGCAGUACGGUCAGGUCUUCUACUCUAGGGCAGUACGGUCAGGUCUUCUACUCUAGGGCAGUACGUUCACGACUUAGUUUUUAUUGAAUUUUUUCCAAGAAAUGUUAGUCUCACCCUAUUCGAUUUGUCUUCGUUUGGGAUCCUGUAUCCGUCUGCCGGCCCCAUCUGGAGGAGCCUGGGAGGGUUGCCUUGAAUCACACCUAGAGUGAUUCCCAUGCACGGUUGACCCUGGUCCCCAGGAGUCGUCAGCAGACAGAGAUAAGGAUCCCAUCCUUAAUGUUGUGGAAAAUUCUUUAUUAAGUGAGAGAGACUUUGUUAAACCCCCCGGAUAAAUUUCUCAGAUGCAAAGACGAUUAGAAACAAAGAGAUGUGUUAUACUCCUACAGGCUAUCUUUAUCUCAGGUUACAAACACCAACUCAUUCUAGGUUUUAUCACCAAGCAAUCAUAAAUACAUUUUUAGCACCCAACUAAGUCACACUCACAGAAGAAGAGAGUUCUCAUCAAAGCAAUUCGAUCCACAAACAGUAUUAAAUCAUCAUCUUGUAUUUUUCUACCAUAAUGGGGAGAAGGUUCACCUUCCAACAGGACAACGACUGUAAACACACAGCCAAGACAACGCAGGAGUGGCUUCAAGACAAGUCUCUGAAUGUCAUUGAGUGGCCCAGUCAGAGCCUGGACUUGAACCCGAUCUAACGUUUCUGGAGAGACCUGAAAAUAGCUGUGCAGUGACGCUCCCCAUCCAACCUGACAGAGCUUGAGAGGAUCUGCAGAGAAGAAUGUGAGAAACUCCCCAAAUACAGGUGUGCCAAACUUGUAGCAUCACACCCCAAGAAGACUCAAGGCUGUAAUGUGGUCCUUCUGUGGCUCAGUUGGUAGAGCAUGGCGCUUGUAAUGCCAGGGUAGUGGGUUCGAUUCCGGGACCACCCAUACGUAGAAUGUAUGCACACAUGACUGUAAGUCGCUUUGGAUAAAAGCGUCAGCUAAAUGGCAUAUAU